GUGAACGCUGGCGGUAGGCCUAACACAUGCACGUCGAACGGCAGCACCGUAAGAGCUUGCUCUUACGGGUGGCGAGUGGCGGACGGGUGAGGAAUACAUCGGAAUCUACUUUUUCGUGGGGGAUAACGUAGGGAAACUUACGCUAAUACCGCAUACGACCUACGGGUGAAAGCAGGGGAUCUUCGGACCUUGCGCGAUUGAAUGAGCCGAUGUCGGAUUAGCUAGUUGGCGGGGUAAGGGCCCACCAAGGCGACGAUCCGUAGCUGGUCUGAGAGGAUGAUCAGCCACACUGGAACUGAGACACGGUCCAGACUCCUACGGGAGGCAGCAGUGGGGAAUAUUGGACAAUGGGCGCAAGCCUGAUCCAGCCAUACCGCGUGGGUGAAGAAGGCCUUCGGGUUGUAAAGCCCUUUUGUUGGGAAAGAAAAGCAGCAGGUUAAUACCCCGCUGUUCUGACGGUACCCAAAGAAUAAGCACCGGCUAACUUCGUG
rnacentral:rRNA from 1 species